GGCCCUUUUUGCAUGACAGCUCUUCUCCGUUCAAGUCUUUUGUUAAGGGAGUGUUUAAGCUUCCUUGUAUAGAAGACCUCUUGUUGGAAGGUCCCGGCCAGAGGCAAAUUUACAAGGCGCGUCCCUCGGUUUUCAGUGGUUGCCCGAGAUUCAGAAUGUUAGCCUUACGGGUAUUUUUUAGGUGAGCUUUUGUCAUCCUUGUUUACCAUACAUGUCUCUUUUCUUUCAGCUCUGCUCCUCACCUUGUCGUUGCUGAUCUUUUAGUCUAACCUCGUUGUGUUUUGUCUGAUUUGGCAGUGUCAUUUUGGUCAGUAGUUUGAUCUCCGUUUGUUUUGAACCUUUUGCCUGAUUUGGCAUCGUCGUUUUGACGACGUUCUGCAAUCGGGGAUUUGGCGUGACGCAAAUUCUCUGGUCGAUCUAUCUUUGCGUAGGCUUGUUCCAACCUUCUCCAUUUACAGUUGGAGUCCAGGGCUCCUUCCACCGAGCAGAAAUACAGAUCUGGCUGGCUGAAGUGGCGUAAAUGGGCAGCUCCUUAGAUUGGCGGGGGGGCCAUACAUCCCUCCUAGCAAGGUCUCAUAAGGUUACUCGCCCGGUUUCUAUUACCGAGAGGUUACUCAAGCUUCUUCCUUCAUCUACUGAGUCAUCCUCCCUCUUCGUUAGACGAAUUGUUUUAUCUAAGUCUGAGGAGUAUUUUCAUGCUACUAAAGGCGUUUCGUACACGACGCUUAGAGAGGAAUUUAGGAAAUACGUUAAGCCAUUUGUAGAUGACAUCACUAGUUAUGGCACGCAUAGUAUCAAGUCUGGCGCCGCUUGAAAUCCUGCAUGUAGGAGUAUUUCUGCUGAUCUGCUGGACACGCACGCCGGCUGGAAAUGUGCCAUUUCAAAGAACAGGCACAUUAAGCACACUGUUAAUGAUCGCUUAAAAGUUACUCGAUCUAUUGCUCUUUAGUUUCGGAUUUCGUUUGCUUACGAUAAAUUAUUUAAUUAGUAGUCUCGGCAGGGGACUAAGUCGUGCCUGGUCCUCCUCAGAUUUCCUAUCCGUUUUUCCCACAGGGUUUGCCCCCCCUGGCACGGCUUUCUCUAGUUUACAUCUUCAGUCUCUCUUUUUGUAGAUGUUAUUAUUAUCUGCUUUAAUAAAGUGGCGUUAUGGCGUUACACUCAGGCCAUAAUCCAAUAUUCUCCAUGAA